UACGUAGGUGGCGAGCGUUGUCCGGAUUUAUUGGGUUUAAAGGGUGCGUAGGCGGCUUUGUAAGUCAGUGGUGAAAUACUCCAGCUUAACUGGAGGGGUGCCAUUGAUACUGCGGAGCUUGAGUACAGAUGAGGUAGGCGGAAUUGACGGUGUAGCGGUGAGAUGCAUAGAUAUCGUCAAGAACACCGAUAGCGAAGGCAGCUUACUGGGCUGUAACUGACGCUGAUGCACGAAAGUGUGGGGAUCAAACAGG
rnacentral:rRNA from 1 species